GAUAAACGCUGGCGGCGCACAUAAGACAUGCAAGUCGAACGGACUUAAUCGAUUCUUUUAGAUUCGAAGCGGUUAGUGGCGGACUGGUGAGUAACACGUAAGCAACCUGCCUGUUAGAGGGGAAUAACAGUGAGAAAUCACUGCUAAAACCGCAUAUGCCGUGAACAUCGCAUGAUGAAAACGGGAAAAGAGCAAUCUGCUAAUAGAUGGGCUUGCGUCUGAUUAGCUAGUUGGUGUGGUAAAGGCAUACCAAGGCAACGAUCAGUAGCCGGACUGAGAGGUUGAACGGCCACAUUGGGACUGAGAUACGGCCCAGACUCCUACGGGAGGCAGCAGUCGGGAAUAUUGCGCAAUGGAGGAAACUCUGACGCAGUGACGCCGCGUAUGGGAAGAAGGUUUUCGGAUUGUAAACCAUUUUAGACAAGGAAGAAACAAGACAGUACUUGUAGAAUAAGCUCCGG
rnacentral:rRNA from 1 species